rnacentral:misc_RNA from 1 species
GAUGAAGAACGCAGCGAAAUGCGAUAAGUAAUGUGAAUUGCGGAAUUCAGUGAAUCAUCGAAUCUUUGAACGCACAUUGCGCCCCCUGGUAUUCCGGGGGGCAUGCCUGUUCGAGCGUCAUUUCACCACUCAAGCCUCGCUUGGUAUUGGGCAUCGCGGUCCGCCGCGCGCCUCAAAUCGACCGGCUGGGUCUUCUGUCCCCUAAGCGUUGUGGAAACUAUUCGCUAAAGGGUGUUCGGGAGGCUACGCCGUAAAACAACCCCAUUUCUAAGGUUGACCUCGGAUCAGGUAGGGAUACCCGCUGAACUUAAGCAUAUCAAUAAGCGGAGG